rnacentral:rRNA from 1 species
GACGAACGCUGGCGGCGCGCUUAACACAUGCAAGUCGAACGGAAAGGCCUGCUUUCCCUUGUGGAUUGCGGGUACUCGAGUGGCGAACGGGUGAGUAACACGUGAGUGAUCUGCCCCCAACUUGGGUAUAAGCCUGGGAAACUGGGUCUAAUUCCCGAUAGGACUGCAGGGUGGUGCCUGUGGUGGAACACGAUUUUCUAGUGGUUGGGGAUGAGCUCGCGGCCUAUCAGCUUGUUGGUGGGGUAAUGGCCUACCAAGGCGGCGACGGGUAGCCGGCCUGGGAGGGUGGACGGCCACAUUGGGACUGAGAUACGGCCCAGACUCCUACGGGAGGCGGCAGUGGGGAAUAUUGCACAAUGGGCGGAAGCCUGAUGCAGCGACGCCGCGUGGGGGAUGACGGCCUUCGGGUUGUAAACUCCUUUCGACCGCGAGGAAGCCACCUGGUUGGAAGGGUGGUGACGGUAGUGGUAGAAGAAGCACCGGCUAACUACGUG